rnacentral:rRNA from 1 species
AGAGUUUGAUCAUGGCUCAGAUUGAACGCUGGCGGCAGGCCUAACACAUGCAAGUCGAGCGGUAGCACAGAGAGCUUGCUCUCGGGUGACGAGCGGCGGACGGGUGAGUAAUGUCUGGGAAACUGCCUGAUGGAGGGGGAUAACUACUGGAAACGGUAGCUAAUACCGCAUAACGUCGCAAGACCAAAGAGGGGGACCUUCGGGCCUCUUGCCAUCAGAUGUGCCCAGAUGGGAUUAGCUAGUAGGUGGGGUAACGGCUCACCUAGGCGACGAUCCCUAGCUGGUCUGAGAGGAUGACCAGCCACACUGGAACUGAGACACGGUCCAGACUCCUACGGGAGGCAGCAGUGGGGAAUAUUGCACAAUGGGCGCAAGCCUGAUGCAGCCAUGCCGCGUGUAUGAAGAAGGCCUUCGGGUUGUAAAGUACUUUCAGCGGGGAGGAAGGUGUUGUGGUUAAUAACCGCAGCAAUUGACGUUACCCGCAGAAGAAGCACCGGCUAACUCCGUGCCAGCAGCCGCGGUAAUACGGAGGGUGCAAGCGUUAAUCGGAAUUACUGGGCGUAAAGCGCACGCAGGCGGUCUGUCAAGUCGGAUGUGAAAUCCCCGGGCUCAACCUGGGAACUGCAUUCGAAACUGGCAGGCUAGAGUCUUGUAGAGGGGGGUAGAAUUCCAGGUGUAGCGGUGAAAUGCGUAGAGAUCUGGAGGAAUACCGGUGGCGAAGGCGGCCCCCUGGACAAAGACUGACGCUCAGGUGCGAAAGCGUGGGGAGCAAACAGGAUUAGAUACCCUGGUAGUCCACGCCGUAAACGAUGUCGACUUGGAGGUUGUGCCCUUGAGGCGUGGCUUCCGGAGCUAACGCGUUAAGUCGACCGCCUGGGGAGUACGGCCGCAAGGUUAAAACUCAAAUGAAUUGACGGGGGCCCGCACAAGCGGUGGAGCAUGUGGUUUAAUUCGAUGCAACGCGAAGAACCUUACCUACUCUUGACAUCCAGAGAACUUUCCAGAGAUGGAUUGGUGCCUUCGGGAACUCUGAGACAGGUGCUGCAUGGCUGUCGUCAGCUCGUGUUGUGAAAUGUUGGGUUAAGUCCCGCAACGAGCGCAACCCUUAUCCUUUGUUGCCAGCGGUUAGGCCGGGAACUCAAAGGAGACUGCCAGUGAUAAACUGGAGGAAGGUGGGGAUGACGUCAAGUCAUCAUGGCCCUUACGAGUAGGGCUACACACGUGCUACAAUGGCGCAUACAAAGAGAAGCGACCUCGCGAGAGCAAGCGGACCUCAUAAAGUGCGUCGUAGUCCGGAUUGGAGUCUGCAACUCGACUCCAUGAAGUCGGAAUCGCUAGUAAUCGUAGAUCAGAAUGCUACGGUGAAUACGUUCCCGGGCCUUGUACACACCGCCCGUCACACCAUGGGAGUGGGUUGCAAAAGAAGUAGGUAGCUUAACCUUCGGGAGGGCGCUUACCACUUUGUGAUUCAUGACUGGGGUGAAGUCGUAACAAGGUAACCGUAGGGGAACCUGCGGUUGGAUCACCU